rnacentral:rRNA from 1 species
GACGAACGCUGGCGGCGUGCCUAAUACAUGCAAGUCGAGCGCAGGAAGCUGACGGAACUCUUCGGAGGGAAGGCAGUGGAAUGAGCGGCGGACGGGUGAGUAACACGUAAGGAACCUGCCUCAAGGAUUGGGAUAACUCCGAGAAAUCGGAGCUAAUACCGGAUAGUUCAACGGACCGCAUGGUCCGCUGAUGAAAGGCGCUUCGGCGUCACCUUGAGAUGGCCUUGCGGUGCAUUAGCUAGUUGGUGGGGUAACGGCCCACCAAGGCGACGAUGCGUAGCCGACCUAGGAGGUUGAUCGGCCCAACUGGGACUGAGAGACGGCCCAGACUCCUACGGGAGGCAGCAGUAGGGAGUCUUCCACAAUGGACGAAAGUCUGAUGGAGCAACGCCGCGUGAGUGAUGAAGGUUUGCGGAUCGUAAAACUCUGUUGUAAGGGAAGAACACGUACGAGAGGGAAUGCUCGUACCUUGACGGUACCUUACGAGAAAGCCACGGCUAACUACGUGCCAGCCGCCGCCGUAACAC